rnacentral:rRNA from 1 species
ACGGGGGGUGCAAGCGUUAUUCGGAAUUAUUGGGUUUAAAGGGUGCGUAGGCGGAUUUGUAAGUGAGACGUGAAACCCCGGGGCUUAACUGCGGAACUGCAUUUGAUACUGCAAGACUUGAGUAUGGGAGAGGGAAGCGGAAUUCCAGUUGUAGAGGUUAAAUUCGUAGAUAUCACGAGGAACACCGAUGGCGAAGGCAGCUUCCUGGACCAAUACUGACGCUGAUGCACGAAGGCGUUGGGAACAAACAG